rnacentral:rRNA from 1 species
GACGAACGCUGGCGGCGUGCCUAAUACAUGCCAGUCGAACGAACCGCGACUGAGUGCUUGCACUUGGUCAAGGUGAGUGGCGAACGGGUGAGUAACACGUGGGUAGCCUACCUCAUAGUGGGGGAUAACAGUCGGAAACGACUGCUAAUACCGCAUAGGACAUGGAAUCACAUGAUUCUGUGAGGAAAGGUGGCGCAAGCUAUCGCUAAGAGAUGGACCCGCGGUGCAUUAGCUAGUUGGUAGGGUAAGGGCCUACCAAGGCGAUGAUGCAUAGCCGACCUGAGAGGGUGAUCGGCCACAUUGGGACUGAGACACGGCCCAAACUCCUACGGGAGGCAGCAGUAGGGAAUCUUCCGCAAUGGACGCAAGUCUGACGGAGCAACGCCGCGUGAGUGAAGAAGGUCUUCGGAUCGUAAAGCUCUGUUGUUAGAGAAGAACAGCGCAUAGAGUAACUGUUAUGCGUGUGACGGUAUCUAACCAGAAAGCCACGGCUAACUACGUG